AACGUACGCUGGCGGCACGCCUAACACAUGCAAGUCGAACGAAGUAGCAAUACUUAGUGGCAGACGGGUGAGUAACAUGUGGGUAUCUGCCCUUUGGCCUGGAAUAACACGAGGAAACUUGUGCUAAUACCGGAUAAGUCUUUACGGAGAAAGCUUUAUGCACCAUUGGAUGAGCCCGCACUUGAUUAGUUUGUUGGUGGGGUAAUGGCCUACCAAGACUGUGAUCAAUAGCUGAUUUGAGAGGAUGAUCAGCCACAUUGGGACUGAGACACGGCCCAAACUCCUACGGGAGGCAGCAGUGGGGAAUCUUGCACAAUGGAGGAAACUCUGAUGCAGCGAUGCCGCGUGAGUGAAGAAGGCCCUUGGGUUGUAAAGCUCUUUCGUCGGGGAAGAAAAUGACUGUACCCGAAUAAGAAGGUCCGGCUAACUUCGUGCCAGCAGCCGCGGUAAUACGAAGGGACCUAGCGUAGUUCGGAAUUACUGGGCUUAAAGAGUUCGUAGGUGGUUGAAAAAGUUAGUGGUGAAAUCCCAGAGCUUAACUCUGGAACUGCCAUUAAAACUUUUCAGCUAGAGUAUGAUAGAGGAAAGCAGAAUUUCUAGUGUAGAGGUGAAAUUCGUAGAUAUUAGAAAGAAUACCAAUUGCGAAGGCAGCUUUCUGGAUCAUUACUGACACUGAGGAACGAACGCAUGGGUAGCGAAGAGGAUUAGAUACCCUCGUAGUCCAUGCCGUAAACGAUGUGUGUUAGACGUUGGAAAUUUAUUUUCAGUGUCGCAGCGAAAGCGAUAAACACACCGCCUGGGGAGUACGACCGCAAGGUUAAAACUCAAAUGAAUUGACGGGGACCCGCACAAGUAGUGGAGCAUGUGGUUUAAUUCGAAGAUACGCGCAGAACCUUACCAACACUUGACAUGUUCGUCGCGACUCUAAGAGAUUAGAGUUUUCGGUUCGGCCGGACGAAACACAGGUGCUGCAUGGCUGUCGUCAGCUCGUGUCGUGAGAUGUUGGGUUAAGUCCCGCAACGAGCGCAACCCUCACUUUUAGUUGCCAUCAUUAAGUUGGGCACUCUGAAAGAACUGCCAGUGAUAAGCUGGAGGAAGGUGGGGAUGACGUCAAGUCCUCAUGGCCCUUACGUGUUGGGCUACACACGUGCUACAAUGGUAUCUACAACAGGAAGCAAGACUGCGAGGUCAAGCAAAUCCUUAAAAGAUACCUCAGUUCGGAUUGCACUCUGCAACUCGAGUGCAUGAAGCUGGAAUUACUAGUAAUCGUGGAUCAGCGUGCCACGGUGAAUGCGUUCCCGGGUCU
rnacentral:rRNA from 1 species